rnacentral:tRNA from 1 species
GCCCGGCUAGCUCAGUCAGUAGAGGAUGAUACUCUUAAUCUUAGGUCGUGGGUUCGGGCUCCACGUUGGGCG